rnacentral:rRNA from 1 species
AUUGAACGCUGGCGGCAGGCUUAACACAUGCAAGUCGAGCGAGCGGCGGACGGGUGAGUAAUGUCUGGGAAACUGCCUGAUGGAGGGGGAUAACUACUGGAAACGGUAGCUAAUACCGCAUACCAUCAGAUGUGCCCAGAUGGGAUUAGCUAGUAGGUGGGGUAAUGGCUCACCUAGGCGACGAUCCCUAGCUGGUCUGAGAGGAUGACCAGCGACACUGGAACGGGAAACCGGUCCCGACUCCUACGGGAGGCAGCAGUGGGGAAUAUGGCACAAUGGGCGCAAGCCGUAUGCAGCCAUGCCGCGUGUGUUAAGAGGGCCUUCGGGUUGUAAAGCACUUUCAGCGAGGAGGCGUUACUCGCAGAAGAAGCAACGGCUAACUCCGUGCCAGCAGCCGCGGUAAUAC